UUGACUGCGAGCGUGACGGCGCGAGCAGGUGCGAAAGCAGGUCAUAGUGAUCCGGUGGUUCUGAAUGGAAGGGCCAUCGCUCAACGGAUAAAAGGUACUCCGGGGAUAACAGGCUGAUACCGCCCAAGAGUUCAUAUCGACGGCGGUGUUUGGCACCUCGAUGUCGGCUCAUAUCAUCCUGGGGCAGAAGCAGGUCCCAAGGGUAUGGCUGUUCGCCAAUUAAAGAGUUACGCGAGCUGGGUUUAGAAC
rnacentral:rRNA from 1 species